GUAACCCUCUGUUUUUGACGUUCGUGCAAUUCGACCAUUUUGGGGGCGCCGCUAACGCUGUCCACAAGCGGCGUAGCGACCACUUGAGGCUGU
rnacentral:sRNA from 1 species